CCUGGGUGGCAGCAGUGAGGAAUAUUGGUCAAUGGGCGCGAGCCUGAACCAGCCAAGUAGCGUGAAGGAUGACUGCCCUACGGGUUGUAAACUUCUUUUAUAAAGGAAUAAAGUGAGGCACGUGUGCCUUUUUGUAUGUACUUUAUGAAUAAGGAUCGGCUAACUCCGUGCCAGCAGCCGCGGUAAUACGGAGGAUCCGAGCGUUAUCCGGAUUUAUUGGGUUUAAAGGGAGCGUAGAUGGGUUGUUAAGUCAGUUGUGAAAGUUUGCGGCUCAACCGUAAAAUUGCAAUUGAUACUGGCAGCCUUGAGUACAGUUGAGGUAGGCGGAAUUCGUGGUGUAGCGGUGAAAUGCUUAGAUAUGACGAAGAACCCCGAUUGCGAAGGCAGCUUGCUGCAGCGGAACUGACGCUGAUGCUCGAAAGCGCGGGUAUCGAACAGGAUUAGAUACCCGUGUAGUC
rnacentral:rRNA from 1 species